rnacentral:lncRNA from 1 species
UCUGUGAAGAUCCCUCGUGUACUACCAUGCUCUCAUACAUUUUGUAGAAACUUUUUGGAAAAUGUUCUUCAGGCAUCUGGUGACUUUUACAUAUGGAGGCCUCUGCGAAUUCCACUCCAGUGUCCUAACUGCAGAAGUAUUAUUGAAACUGCUUCUACUGGCAUAGAAUCCUUACCUGUAAACUUUGCAUUACGAGCAAUUAUUGAAAAGUACCAGCAAGAAGACCACCCAGAUGUUGUCACCUGCUCUGAACACUACAGGCAACCAUUAAAUGUUUAUUGUCUACUAGAUAAGAAAUUAGUUUGUGGCCAUUGUCUUACAAUAGGCCAACAUCAUGGCCAUCCUAUAGAUGACCUUCAAAGUGCCUAUCUGAAAGAAAAGGAUACACACCUCAGAAGUUGUUGAGACAGUUAACCGACACACACUGGACAGACAUCACUCGCCUCAUUGAAAAGCUUGAAGAACAGAAACGUCAUUCUGAGAAAAUAGUUCAAGGUGAUAAGGAAGUUGUUCUCUAGAAUUUUAAGGAGCUUACUGAUAACAUUAGAACAGAAAAAAAUAUUUUUUGGCAGCUCUUUAUGAUGUUGGCAAGAUGAUUAAUCAAGAAUACACUCCACAGAUUCAAAGAAUGAAGGCGAUAAGGGAACAACUUGAGUUAAUGACAGUAACGACAUCUUUACAAGAUGAGUCUCCACUUAAAUUCCUGGAAAAAUAUUGAUGAUGUCCACCAACGUGUGCAGAUGUUGAAACAGAGACCACUUCCUGAGGUCCUGGCUAUUGGAAUUUAUCCUCGAGUAAGCAAUGUAAUAAGAGAAGAGUGGAGCAGAACAGAAAUUGGACAUAUUAAGGAAGCUGUUAUUCCUGAAAUGAGAGUUUCUUCAAAAAGAACGCCAUGUUCCUGGUCUGAUAAUGAUGAAAAAGAAAUGGAACUUUAAAAAAUUUUAAACAUUGCUAUACUUUCACUCAUUUCAGUGAUACUAAUACUCUUUUUCAACCAUCACACAAUAACCAUCUUAAAUGAAAUCACUUCACUAUGUUUCUCUGAAGUCUUUCUCUCUGUUUACCAGAGUUUAUCUAAGAAUUUAUAUGACUUAAUACAGUGUGCUGCACUUUAUAUUUGCUAAAGGAGUUGAUGUGGAAAAUAGUUUCUCGUUGA